rnacentral:rRNA from 1 species
CCUACGGGAGGCAGCAGUGAGGAAUAUUGGUCAAUGGCCGGAAGGCUGAACCAGCCAAGCCGCGUGAAGGACGAAGGUGCCAAGCAUUGUAAACGUCUUUUGUCAAGGGAAAAAAUCAGGCUCGAGAGCCUGACCGAGGGUACUUGAAGAAAAAGCAUAGGCUAACUCCGUGCAAGCGGCCGCGGAAAUAUGGAGGAAGCGAGCGUUAUCCGGAUGGAGUGGGUUUAAAGGGUGCGUAGGCGGACUGUUAAGUCAGCGGUAAAAGCUGGGGGCUCAACCCCGGGGAGCCGUUGAAACUGGCUGUCUUGAGAUGUCGAGAGGUAUGCGGAAUGCGCAAUGUAGCGGUGAAAUGCUUAGAUAUUGCGCAGAACUCCGAUUGCGAAGGCAGCAUACCGGCAGCGAUCUGACGCUGAGGCACGAAAGCGUGGGUAUCGAACAGGAUUAGAUACCCUUGUAGUC